UACGAAGGGGGCUAGCGUUGCUCGGAAUCGCUGGGCGUAAAGGGUGCGUAGGCGGGUCUUUUAAGUCAGGGGUGAAAUCCUGGAGCUCAACUCCAGAACUGCCUUUGAUACUGAGGAUCUUGAGUUCGGGAGAGGUGAGUGGAACUGCGAGUGUAGAGGUGAAAUUCGUAGAUAUUCGCAAGAACACCAGUGGCGAAGGCGGCUCACUGGCCCGAUACUGACGCUGAGGCACGAAAGCGUGGGGGAGCAAAC
rnacentral:rRNA from 1 species